CGAACGGGUGAGUAACACGUGGGUAAUCUGCCCUCGAUUCUGGGAUAGCCCGGGGAAACCCGGAUUAAUACCGGAUAGCCUCUCGAGCUUACGAGCUCGUGAGAAAAGGUAGCUUCGGCCUCCGAUCGAGGAUGAGCCCGCGGCGGAUUAGCUUGUUGGUGGGGUAAUGGCCUACCAAGGCGACGAUCCGUAGCUAGUCUGAGAGGACGAUCAGCCACACUGGGACUGAGACACGGCCCAGACUCCUACGGGAGGCAGCAGUGGGGAAUCUUGCGCAAUGGGCGAAAGCCUGACGCAGCGACGCCGCGUGGGGGAAGAAGGCCUUCGGGUUGUAAACCUCUUUCAGCAGGGACGAAGCCACUCGGGUUAAUAGCCCAGAGGGUGACGGUACCUGCAGAAGAAGCCCCGGCUAACUACGUGCCAGCAGCCGCGGUAAUACGUAGGGGGCAAGCGUUGUCCGGAUUUAUUGGGCGUAAAGAGCGUGUAGGCGGCCGCACAGGUCCGUUGUGAAAACUGGAGGCUUAACCUUCAGACGUCGAUGGAAACCGUGCGGCUAGAGUCCGGAAGAGGAGAAUGGAAUUCCUGGUGUAGCGGUGAAAUGCGCAGAUAUCAGGAAGAACACCCGUGGCUAAGGCGGUUCUCUAGUACGG
rnacentral:rRNA from 1 species